rnacentral:rRNA from 1 species
AUGCCUAUGAAUUAUUCACUUGCUGUUGAACCAUUCGAUGUUUGGGGAUUUGACUUCAUGGGACCUUUUCCUUCCUCUAAUGGGUAUACACAUAUUUUGGUUGCUCUUGAUUAUGUUACUAAAUGGGUAGAAGCUAUUCCAACCAUUAGUGUUGAUCACAACACCUCUAUUAAAAUGCUUAAGGAAGUUCUUUUCUCAAGGUUUGGAGUCCCUAGAUAUUUAAUGACUGAUGGUGGUUCACACUUUAUUCAUGGUGCUUUCCGUAAAAUGCUUGCUAAGUAUGAUGUUAACCAUAGAAUUGCAUCACCUUAUCAUCCUCAGUCUAGUGGUCAAGUUGAACUUAGCAAUAGAGAAAUAAAACUAAUCUUACAAAAGACUGUCAAUAGGUCCCGGAAGAAUUGGUCCAAGAAAUUAGAUGAUGCACGUUGGGAUUAUAGAACGGCUUAUAAAAAUCCUAUGGGUAUGUCUCCACAUAAAAUGGUUUAUGGAAAAGCUUGUCAUUUACCUCUUGAGUUAGAACACAAAGCAUUUUGGGCAAUAAAAGAACUCAAUUAUGAUUUCAAACUUGUGGGGGAAAAAGGUUAUUUGAUAUUAGCUCAUUAG